rnacentral:rRNA from 1 species
AGCGAACGCUGGCGGCAGGCCUAACACAUGCAAGUCGAACGGACCCUUCGGGGUUAGUGGCGGACGGGUGAGUAACACGUGGGGACGUGCCUUUAGGUUCGGAAUAGCCCCUGGAAACGGGUGGUAAUGCCGAAUGUGCCCUUCGGGGGAAAGAUUUAUCGCCUUUAGAGCGGCCCGCGUCUGAUUAGCUAGGUGGGGAGGUAACGGCUCACCAAGGCGACGAUCAGUAGCUGGUCUGAGAGGACGACCAGCCACACUGGGACUGAGACACGGCCCAGACGCGUACGGGAGGCAGCAGUGGGGAAUCUUGCGGAAUGGGCGAAAGCCUGACGCAGCCAUGCCGCGUGAAUGAGGAAGGUCUUAGGAUAGUAAAAUUCUUUCGCCGGGGACGAUAAUGACGGUACCCGGAGAAGAAGCCCCGGCUAACUUCGUGCCAGCCGCCGCAGUAA